rfam:Pseudomonas stutzeri strain 28a24, complete genome.
UGGUUAUUACUUUGGGUAUUGGUUUAGCCAUAGGCGCGCCUGAUCCCCCUCCGGCGCCCUAGCAAGCAGGGUCGCCACCAGACAGUUUUCGAACCCCCGGUCGGCCACCCGACCGGGGG